rnacentral:lncRNA from 1 species
AUGAAAUCUUUAAGGAAACUUUUUUUAGCUGGAAUAUUCUCCAAAAACAUGAGCAAGGCGGGGAAGGGCGAGCCCCACGUCUUUAAAGAAAAGACCUUCAAAAAGAAGCGGCAGUGUGGGGUGUGCAGGCAGAGUGUGGAGAAUUUGGGCUCUUUUUGUCGAGUCUGCAAAACAGCCACUCAUAAGAAAUGCGAAGUCAAGGCCUCCCUGUGUUGGGGCGGCAGUGUUGGCAGCCGCACCCCCGCACCACACAGCUGUAGUGAAAGACUCAUUGAUAAGACCAAUGGAUGCCAGUGCUGGCACACCCAUAUCAGGCACGUCUCCAGAGGAGCACCCUGGGAUCUAGAGUCCCAAGCAACGCUGUAA